AUGAGUUGCGAACGGGUGAGUAACGCGUAGGUAACCUGCCUUGUAGCGGGGGAUAACUAUUGGAAACGAUAGCUAAUACCGCAUAACAAUGGAUGACACAUGUCAUUUAUUUGAAAGGGGCAAUUGCUCCACUACAAGAUGGACCUGCGUUGUAUUAGCUAGUAGGUGAGGUAAUGGCUCACCUAGGCGACGAUACAUAGCCGACCUGAGAGGGUGAUCGGCCACACUGGGACUGAGACACGGCCCAGACUCCUACGGGAGGCAGCAGUAGGGAAUCUUCGGCAAUGGGGGCAACCCUGACCGAGCAACGCCGCGUGAGUGAAGAAGGUUUUCGGAUCGUAAAGCUCUGUUGUAAGUCAAGAACGGGUGUGAGAGUGGAAAGUUCACACUGUGACGGUAGCUUACCAGAAAGGGACGGCUAACUACGUGCCAGCAGCCGCGGUAAUACGUAGGUCCCGAGCGUUGUCCGGAUUUAUUGGGCGUAAAGCGAGCGCAGGCGGUUUGAUAAGUCUGAAGUUAAAGGCUGUGGCUCAACCAUAGUUCGCUUUGGAAACUGUCAAACUUGAGUGCAGAAGGGGAGAGUGGAAUUCCAUGUGUAGCGGUGAAAUGCGUAGAUAUAUGGAGGAACACCGGUGGCGAAAGCGGCUCUCUGGUCUGUAACUGACGCUGAGGCUCGAAAGCGUGGGGAGCGAACAGGAUUAGAUACCCUGGUAGUCCACGCCGUAAACGAUGAGUGCUAGGUGUUGGAUCCUUUCCGGGAUUCAGUGCCGCAGCUAACGCAUUAAGCACUCCGCCUGGGGAGUACGACCGCAAGGUUGAAACUCAAAGGAAUUGACGGGGGCCCGCACAAGCGGUGGAGCAUGUGGUUUAAUUCGAAGCAACGCGAAGAACCUUACCAGGUCUUGACAUCCCGAUGCUAUUUCUAGAGAUAGAAAGUUACUUCGGUACAUCGGUGACAGGUGGUGCAUGGUUGUCGUCAGCUCGUGUCGUGAGAUGUUGGGUUAAGUCCCGCAACGAGCGCAACCCCUAUUGUUAGUUGCCAUCAUUCAGUUGGGCACUCUAGCGAGACUGCCGGUAAUAAACCGGAGGAAGGUGGGGAUGACGUCAAAUCAUCAUGCCCCUUAUGACCUGGGCUACACACGUGCUACAAUGGUUGGUACAACGAGUUGCGAGUCGGUGACGGCGAGCUAAUCUCUUAAAGCCAAUCUCAGUUCGGAUUGUAGGCUGCAACUCGCCUACAUGAAGUCGGAAUCGCUAGUAAUCGCGGAUCAGCACGCCGCGGUGAAUACGUUCCCGGGCCUUGUACACACCGCCCGUCACACCACGAGAGUUUGUAAC
rnacentral:rRNA from 1 species